rnacentral:rRNA from 1 species
AACGAACGCUGGCGGCGUGCUUAACACAUGCAAGUCGAGCGAUGAAGCUUCCUUCGGGAAGUGGAUUAGCGGCGGACGGGUGAGUAACACGUGGGUAACCUGCCUCAAAGUGGGGGAUAGCCUUCCGAAAGGAAGAUUAAUACCGCAUAACAUAAGAGAAUCGCAUGAUUUUCUUAUCAAAGAUUUAUUGCUUUGAGAUGGACCCGCGGCGCAUUAGCUAGGUGGGAAGGUAACGGCUUACCAAGGCAACGAUGCGUAGCCGACCUGAGAGGGGGAUCGGCCACAAGGGAACUGAGACACGGUCCAGACUCCUACGGGAGGCAGCAGUGGGGAAUAUUGCGCAAUGGGGGAAACCCUGACGCAGCAACGCCGCGUGGGUGAUGAAGGACUUCGGAUUGUAAAGCCCUGUUUUCUAGGACGAUAAUGACGGUACUAGAGGAGGAAGCCACGGCUAACUACGUGCCAGCCGCCGCGGUAAUAC